rnacentral:hammerhead_ribozyme from 1 species
AUUCAGCUGAUGAGUCCCAAAUAGGACGAAAAAUCCAUCCCGGAU